rnacentral:misc_RNA from 1 species
GAUGAAGAACGCAGCGAAAUGCGAUAAGUAAUGCGAAUUGCAGAAUUUCCGUGAGUCAUCGAAUCUUUGAACGCACAUUGCGCCCUUUGGUAUUCCUUAGGGCAUGCCUGUUCGAGCGUCAUCUACACCCUCAAGCACAGCUUGGUGAUGGGCGCCUGUCCCGCCCCCCACGGGGGCGCGGACUCGCCUCAAAUGCAUUGGCGGCCGGCGACCUGGCUUCGAGCGCAGCAGAAACGCGUACUCGGGGACCGGGCGCCCGCUCCCAGAAGCCAACCCACCCAGUUUGACCUCGGAUCAGGUAGGGAUACCCGCUGAACUUAAGCAUAUCAAUAAGCGGAGGA